rnacentral:tRNA from 1 species
CAUAGCUCAGUUGGUUAGAGCACCACCUUGACAUGGUGGAGGUCGUUGGUUAGAACCACCAACUGAGGU